rnacentral:lncRNA from 1 species
AAAAGCCUAUACAGAGAAUACAAAGACAACAAAUAUCUUCUUUUUUUUCCUUUUGCUCUUUCUUCUUCCUUUCUUUCUUCUUGUCUUGAAAAUGGGGGUGUUUCCACGCAUACAAUAUCAUUAGAAGACAAGAACGCAUAGAAUUACACAGCAGAAGAGGAAAAUGGAGAUUCUGUUCAAUGACUUGUCUACCUGCAUUUCCUGUCUUCUCAGUCGGUUCCUACUGCUCCCUGUUAGCUGGUAAGAGUUACGGUAAGAGUAUAAGUUAUCCGAGUUCCCGAAGACCCUCGCAUGCACGAAAUCCCCGAUCAUUCCAAC